CUACGGGAGGCAGCAGUGGGGAAUUUUGGACAAUGGGCGCAAGCCUGAUCCAGCAAUGCCGCGUGGGUGAAGAAGGCCUGCGGGUUGUAAAGCCCUUUUAGUGGGGAAGAACGGCGGGGUGCCAAUACCACCCUGACAUGACGGUACCCACAGAAAAAGCACCGGCUAACUCCGUGCCAGCAGCCGCGGUAAUACGGAGGGUGCAAGCGUUAAUCGGAAUUACUGGGCGUAAAGCGCGCGUAGGCGGCUUAAUCAGUCUGCUGUGAAAGCCCCGGGCUCAACCUGGGAAUAGCAGUGGAUACUGUUAAGCUAGAGUGCAAGAGAGGAUGGCGGAAUUCCCGGUGUAGCGGUGAAAUGCGUAGAGAUCGGGAGGAACACCGAUGGCGAAGGCAGCCAUCUGGAUUGACACUGACGCUGAGGGGCGAAAGCGUGGGGAGCAAACAGGAUUAGAAACCCCUGUAGUCC
rnacentral:rRNA from 1 species